rnacentral:lncRNA from 1 species
CCAUUGAACCUGCAAGCAGAAUUUUAUUAACCCUCAAAAACUGCUUUUGUUUUAACCAAUAACACAAUUCUUAGUAGAAUGUUAAACAUGAGGAAAGUAAGGAGGCAAGAAGAGACAAAUGAUUUAUCUAAUGACAUUUAUUUCGUUACUAACUGACAAACAAAGAAUUCAGGUCCAAGUUUUCCUUAGAGAUUCAUGAAUACAAUUCUCUUUCAACAUAAUUUUGAUCAAUAAUAUGCUAUAAUUAAACAAUUGCUACCUCUUCAGUACAGUGAGUUCUCUCGUACCUCGGUGUUCUCAUAUAAUUAAAGAUAGCGCUCGGGAGAUAACCACACAGCUCUU